rnacentral:rRNA from 1 species
UACGAGUGCGUCGAGCGUUAUCCGGAAUCAUUGGGCGUAAAGGGUGUGUAGGUGGCGUUGUUAGUCUCCUGUUAAAUUCCUCGGCUCAACCGGGGGCUCGCGGGAGAAACGGCAAUGCUAGAAGUUGGUAGGGGUUUCUGGAACUCUAAGUGUAGCGGUGAAAUGCGUUGAUAUUUAGGGGAACACCAAAAGCGAAGGCAGGAAACUGGACCAUACCUGACACUGAGGCACGAAAGCUAGGGGAGCAAACAGG